AAUAACUGUGCAAUAUGCUCCACAGAAUCUCUCAAUCACUUCCCCCGACAACGUGAACAAUUCCUGGGUCAGUGUAAAGGAAGGAAACUCUGCAACG